rnacentral:rRNA from 1 species
UUGGUGGCCUUCGGGAACUCUGACACAGGUGCUGCAUGGCUGUCGUCAGCUCGUGUCGUGAGAUGUUGGGUUAAGUCCCGUAACGAGCGCAACCCUUGUCCUUAGUUACCAGCACGUUAUGGUGGGCACUCUAAGGAGACUGCCGGUGACAAACCGGAGGAAGGUGGGGAUAACGUCAAGUCAUCAUGGCCCUUACGGCCUGGGCUACACACGUGCUACAAUGGUCGGUACAAAGGGUUGCCAAGCCGCGAGGUGGAGCUAAUCCCAUAAAACCGAUCGUAGUCCGGAUCGCAGUCUGCAACUCGACUGCGUGAAGUCGGAAUCGCUAGUAAUCGUGAAUCAGAAUGUCACGGUGAAUACGUUCCCGGGCCUU